UAUUAAUGAAUUAUUUAGAAUAAGUUUCAAAUUUUCGCUUUCCGUUUUAAAUAUAAUAUAUUUUGUAGAUUAGGGGUUAAUAUUUUAUUGUUUUUAAUAAUGUAUUUGUUGAGGGCAAAAAAUAUUUGAGGUUGUUCGUUUUGUAAUAUUUUAAUCUUUUGUAAUCUUUUUUAUUGAGCGUUCUACUUACAGUUUUCAAUUAUUUUUCGAUAACCGGUUCAAAAAAUUCUUCCUCUGCUGUGUCAAUGCUUAAGUUCCACUUCUCCUUAUUUUGGUUACCCUUAAGUUCUUUUCACGCUUUUCGUUGAUUUUGUUGGUUUUAUUCACUCUCUCAGUGUUCUUUUCCCGCUCCACGUCAGUGUUCUUUUCACGCUCCACGCUUUGUAUUCCGUUUCGUCGAUUUCAUUGUUUUUAUUUACUCGCUCAGCGUUCUUUUCACGCUCCACGCUAUUUUCGUUGAUUUCGUUGAUUUUAUUAACUUGCUCAGUGUUCUUCUUUCUUUGCUUGCUUCAAAAAAACUUUACUUUUACCGUUGAUUUUUUGCGCUGUUCUCGUGAGAGAACAAUCCUCUUCUCUUUCGUCCGCUGUUCGGCUACGUUAACUUGUAUGCAAGAGAGGCCCCAGAGGUUGUUCACCACAAGUUAUUUUCUUGCAGUAUUUCUACAAAUUUUUCUCUGACUUAAGUAAUAUUUUUAAUUUUUGUAGAGAUAAUGGCGUCGUCUGCAUAUACUGAGAUAAAGUGGCGAGCCUUGCGGAAUUCCAUUGUGUAAAAUGUGGGAGUUCGAUGUGCCAUUGUUUAUUCGACCCCUGAAGGACCGAUUGGACAUAAAGGCUUUAAUUAGCCCCAGCGCUCGAGUCUCCAAAGUACGGCAUGGUGUCCCCCCCACGCGAUCGAAAGCUCUUUCAAAAUCCUUCGCCAAGAUAGAGAUGUGAUUUUUGGUCGAAAGAGCGUUCGACGCGAAGUGUCCAUCGUUCUGCGAUUUCUUUUGAAUGCAACUUGAUUAUGGCAAAUUAGAUUGUGCCGUUUAAUCAGCCAGAUAAGUCAUUGUGCUCUUAUUUUUCCUAGACAGGAUAACAGGAAAAUAGGACGUGAGCUGUUCAAUUGAGAAGGAGGCUGGUUAGGUUUUGAGAUAGGGAUAAUGUUAGCCGAUCUUCAUGUAUGUUUGUAAUUUCCAGUAUUUAGCAUUUAAAUAAAUAUAUUAAAAUA